UUUCAUGCUGUAAGAUCCACCCUUAGCACUUUGUCAGCUGCCUGCUUGGAAAUGAUAGGUGAAAGUCUAUCAGAAGUCAAGGCCCUGGUCCUGAAAAUGUUUCCUGAUCCAUUGAAACUUCUGAGUUACUGCUUGACAUGCUACAGUGCCCACCUGCAUCUCUACUGUCAUGGCAGGUCAAGACUCCUGAGACUGUGAGGACAUAAACAGGCUGCACAGCAUUGGUGAGGAUGAGCAAGACAUAGGUUCAAAACCAGAAUGCAGACAAGCAUAGAGAAUAUGAUAAGCAUAGACUGAAACAGUGAAGCUG